rnacentral:rRNA from 1 species
AUAUUCGGAGGAACAACAGUGGCGAAGGCGGCUCAUUGGCUCGAUAGUGACGGUGAGGUGCGAUAGUGUGUGCAGCAAACAGGAUCAGAUACCAUGGUAGUCCAUGCCGUUAUCGACGAAUGCCAGUCGUCAGCGGGCUAUUCCAUUGGUGUCACACAUAAUGGAUUCAGCAAUCCUCCUGGGGAGUACGGGGGCAAGGUUGAAACUCAAAGGAAUUGACGGGGGCCCGCACAAGCGGUGGAGCAUGUGGUUUAAUUUGAAGCAACGCGCAGAACCUUACCAACCCUUGACAUCCUGUGACCGUUCCAGAGAUGGUUCUUCCCAUCGGGGCACAGUGACAGGUUCUGCAUGGCAGUUGUCAGCUAAUGUGGUGAGAUGUUUGGUUAAGUCCGGCAACGAGCGCAACCCACACCUUUAGUUGCCAAUUAUGGAACUCUAGGGGAACUGCCCGUGAUAAGCGGGAGGAAGGUGUGGAUGACGUCAAGUCCUCUUGGCCCUCCCGGGUUGGUGUACACACGUGCUACAAUGGCAUCUACAGUGGGGUAAUCCCCAAAAGAGGUCUCAGUUCAGAUCGUCCUCUGCAACUUGAGGGCAUGAAGUAGGAAUCGCUAGUAAUCGCGUAACAGCAUGACGCGGUGAAUACGUUCCCGGGCGUUGUACACCCCGCCCGUCACACCAUGGGAGUUGGGUUUACCAGAAGACGGUGCGCCAACCUUUCCAGGAGGCAGCUGCCCACGGUAAGCUCAGUGACUGGGGUGAAGUCGUAACAAGGUAACCAAGGGCGAA